UUUAUUGGUUUUUCAAAAAUUUAAUCAAAUCAUUCAACAACUUUUCGGCAUUUAAUACACAUCAAAAUUGUAAUACAAAUAUUUUCUUCAAAAUAACAGGAGCCUGCUUGAACACACCACCUCAACAACAUGUGUGAACCCUGUUGCGGCUGCUGUGGCUCCUAUGGCUGCCCGACAGGCCCUUGUGGGCCCUGUGGUCCAUGUGGUCCAUGCCGGCCUGGUGGGCCUUGUCAACCCUGCGGGCCAUGUGGCCCUUGCGGCCCGCCGUCUUGUAGUCCAUGUGGCCCAUGCGCGCCAUCGUGUGGUAGUUGUUGUAGCCCAUGCGGCCCUUGCAUCUCACGCGGUCCGUGCGGACCAUGUGGUACUUGUGGGCCUUGCUGCAGUCCGCUUCCCUGCUGUCCAUUCGGCUGUCCAUGCUCCAAGUGCCCAAACCCAUGCCGAUAUCUAAAGCCCAGGUACUGAGGCAACGCGCAUUGUGGGUAUCGGAAAUGUGUGCGACGCAAAUGUUGAACAAUGGGAAAAUGUUACAUUUGAGGUGAAACUGGAAUUUUAAAUGCGCAACUACGGGAAACUGUUGGCGAACGAUGACAAUUGAGAUGAAUUAGUGCAUCCCUAAAGAUUGUGGGAGGACUUCGUGUUUUACCAUGUCUCCUAUUGUUCAUUUGAUAUUUUGUAUGAAGAAAAUUUUGACUUAUUUUUUAAAUAUAUACUAUAUACCUGUAUUUUUUAAGAAAA